rnacentral:lncRNA from 1 species
UCCAAAUUCCUUAAUAGGACACCCAUAGCACAAGAGUUAAUAACUAGAAUCAACAAAUGGGACUUACUCAAACUAAAAAGUUUUUUCUCAGCAAGAGAAACAAUAAGAGAGGUAAAUAGGGAGCCUACAUCCUGGGAACAAAUUUUUACUCCCCACACUUCAGAUAGAGCCCUAAUAUCCAGAGUAUACAAAGAACUCAAAAAAUUAAACAAUAAGAUAACAAAUAACCCAAUCAACAAAUGGGCCAAAGACCUGAACAGACACUUCUCAGAGGACGACAUACAAUCAAUCAACAAGUACAUGAAAAAAUGCUCACCAUCUCUAGCAGUCAGAGAAAUGCAAAUCAAAACCACCCUAAGAUACCAUCUCACUCCAGUAAGAUUGGCAGCCAUUAUG